CGCUAUAAGAUAAACCUGCUUUCGAUAUCUUCGUCACUCUAUAUCUUGUAGCAAAUAGAUAUCGUUGUGCGAGAUACAAAAGUACUAAUCAAAACAAAUUAUCGCUCUCAAUCUCUCAAAUUGUAUCAAUAAUGGAUAUCUUUCCGGUGGGCUAAAUCUUGGGGGUCUACGUGUGGGUAUACGUGGGUGAUUAUAAUCCUAAGAUGAUCGUUAAUAAAGCGGAAAGAGAGAAAGGAAGCCGCGAGUACGUCGACAGCCGUUACACGCGACGCGUCUUAUCAACGCGUCGAGGGUGAUAAGGCUAUCUUUAUCCGCGAUAAAGUCGCUUCGAAGCUCAGAGUCUAUCUCGACUGCGGGAACACGAGCGCGAAAGAACGUCGUAAUGGCAUACACGUGCGAUUAGAGAUUACGAUUUGCUCGAGCUAUCGAUUUGAUUAGCCGGCUUGAUAUGCGAGAGAAACAAUAUUUAAUAAAAAUUGGUGCGAUUGAAAUGCUAAAUAACGAAAAAUCUCUGGUGCAAUCUCUGGCGAAUAUUAAUUCUAGAAUAAGCGAACGUAAUUGGAUAUUGAAGUACGGAGUAUUCCGCACUUUAAAAAUGGAGGAGCCAAACGAUGCGCGACGUUAUAAUUGAAGAAAUGGGCGAAUGGGAAGAGACGAAGAGAGAGAGAGAGCGAGAGGAUUGUCAUAUUCUUAUAAAAAUGAUCUUUACGAACAAAUUGUUAUCAUGUACAACGUUGUAAAUGCUAGCGUAAUAGCUAAUAUUAAACCGUCUAAUAUUUUUUAAAAAAUUAAAGUUUUAUAAUAUUAUAUCAUGUCGCAUUACGAUGACGAUUUAAUCUUUUAAAGUAGAUAAUUACAAAGUUUAUUAGUUGAUGCGAUUUCAUCGUUUUUUGCGCACUCGUUUCAUCGGAUUACUCGUCAGUGUAGAAAGAUCAAACUCACAUGUAUACUCGCAGGAUAUAUCCGUUUCGAAUUAUACAUUUCCAAAUUCGUCCUGUUAAUACGUCAUAAUGGAAAGAUGCGACACGUCAGAAGGUGGCGUAUCCGGUGCAUUUUUACGCAUCGAUGAUGCAUGAACAGCGUAUAUGUAUAUCGAGAUGAAUGCCACAAUGAAUGGACUUUCGAGUUAUGUAUUCGAUUCGUUUAUAUUGGAAUAGUUAUAUACAUGCAGUGCGAAUGCAUAUAUAGUAUGUAUGCGUGCGCAACGUUAAUUCCGUAUGUAAAAUGGCUCUCUUCUCUCGGCCGGAAUUUCGAAAAUGCACACGAGCCGAACGUGCAAACCCCUCGAUUUAUUCGCGAUUCCUGAAAAUUAUUUGAUCAUCGACAACUUUCUACCUCCCCCAUCCACCCACGCUUGUUGAUCCUCCCUUGUUCUCUCGUUUACGCGAUCUCUCGCAACCGAAUGUCCGGUGAACACAUGAAAUUGGAUGUUCGUUUUGAUAUUCUUUAACCCAAUUAUUCGUUUACACAUGGAAAUAUACGCGUGAAGCUAACAAUAAAAAAUCAAAUCUUUUGAUGUUAAAUAUUCA